UCUCUUUCCCAUGGUCAGACAGGAACCUCCCCCUGGGUAAGUGAAUCCAAUCUCCCCCCAGUACUUACCCAGGUACAGAGCUCUGAUUCUCUGUACUUCCUGCUCCU